rnacentral:rRNA from 1 species
AGCGAACAGACGAGGAGCUUGCUCCUCUGACGUUAGCGGCGGACGGGUGAGUAACACGUGGAUAACCUACCUAUAAGACUGGGAUAACUUCGGGAAACCGGAGCUAAUACCGGAUAAUAUAUUGAACCGCAUGGUUCAAUAGUGAAAGACGGUUUUGCUGUCACUUAUAGAUGGAUCCGCGCCGCAUUAGCUAGUUGGUAAGGUAACGGCUUACCAAGGCAACGAUGCGUAGCCGACCUGAGAGGGUGAUCGGCCACACUGGAACUGAGACACGGUCCAGACUCCUACGGGAGGCAGCAGUAGGGAAUCUUCCGCAAUGGGCGAAAGCCUGACGGAGCAACGCCGCGUGAGUGAUGAAGGUCUUCGGAUCGUAAAACUCUGUUAUUAGGGAAGAACAAAUGUGUAAGUAACUAUGCACGUCUUGACGGUACCUAAUCAGAAAGCCACGGCUAACUACGUGCCAGCAGCCGCGGUAAUACGUAGGUGGCAAGCGUUAUCCGGAAUUAUUGGGCGUAAAGCGCGCGUAGGCGGUUUUUUAAGUCUGAUGUGAAAGCCCACGGCUCAACCGUGGAGGGUCAUUGGAAACUGGAAAACUUGAGUGCAGAAGAGGAAAGUGGAAUUCCAUGUGUAGCGGUGAAAUGCGCAGAGAUAUGGAGGAACACCAGUGGCGAAGGCGACUUUCUGGUCUGUAACUGACGCUGAUGUGCGAAAGCGUGGGGAUCAAACAGGAUUAGAUACCCUGGUAGUCCACGCCGUAAACGAUGAGUGCUAAGUGUUAGGGGGUUUCCGCCCCUUAGUGCUGCAGCUAACGCAUUAAGCACUCCGCCUGGGGAGUACGACCGCAAGUG